UACGUAGGGUGCAAGCGUUAAUCGGAAUUACUGGGCGUAAAGCGUGCGCAGGCGGUUGUGCAAGACAGAUGUGAAAUCCCCGGGCUCAACCUGGGAACUGCAUUUGUGACUGCAUGGCUAGAGUGCGGCAGAGGGGGAUGGAAUUCCGCGUGUAGCAGUGAAAUGCGUAGAUAUGCGGAGGAACACCGAUGGCGAAGGCAAUCCCCUGGGCCUGCACUGACGCUCAUGCACGAAAGCGUGGGGAGCAAACAGG
rnacentral:rRNA from 1 species